AUUGAACGCUGGCGGCAUGCCUUACACAUGCAAGUCGAACGGUAACGCGGGGCAACCUGGCGACGAGUGGCGAACGGGUGAGUAAUGCAUCGGAACGUGCCCAGUAGUGGGGGAUAGCCCGGCGAAAGCCGGAUUAAUACCGCAUACGACCUAUGGGUGAAAGCGGGGGACCGUAAGGCCUCGCGCUAUUGGAGCGGCCGAUGUCAGAUUAGCUAGUUGGUGGGGUAAAAGCCUACCAAGGCGACGAUCUGUAGCUGGUCUGAGAGGACGACCAGCCACACUGGGACUGAGACACGGCCCAGACUCCUACGGGAGGCAGCAGUGGGGAAUUUUGGACAAUGGGCGCAAGCCUGAUCCAGCCAUGCCGCGUGCGGGAAGAAGGCCU
rnacentral:rRNA from 1 species